GUGCCUAAUACAUGCAAGUCGAGCGGACAGAUGGGAGCUUGCUCCCUGAUGUUAGCGGCGGACGGGUGAGUAACACGUGGGUAACCUGCCUGUAAGACUGGGAUAACUCCGGGAAACCGGGGCUAAUACCGGAUGGUUGUUUGAACCGCAUGGUUCAGACAUAAAAGGUGGCUUCGGCUACCACUUACAGAUGGACCCGCGGCGCAUUAGCUAGUUGGUGAGGUAACGGCUCACCAAGGCGACGAUGCGUAGCCGACCUGAGAGGGUGAUCGGCCACACUGGGACUGAGACACGGCCCAGACUCCUACGGGAGGCAGCAU
rnacentral:rRNA from 1 species